CCAUAUUGUUAGUCCCUUUUCUGGAUUUUCCAUUGACUGUAUUUGUUGAUCAGUUGAGUCUUCUGUCAUAAUAUUUAAUUGUUCCACUUUUUCUGUUAUAUUCUGUGUAGUUAAUUUUUUAAUUGUAGUCAGAGUUUGGGUUCAUAUCUCUGGGCUGUUAUCUUGUUCUUUUCUGUAACCUCUUAUUUCAUCAGUAGCUGUUAGAAUAGUUUGAUGAAUUGCUUUCAAAAUAAAGAGAAUCUGUUCCUGAUCUUCAUCCAUAUUCUCUUAGUAGUGUAUUUGGUUAAAAGCUUUACAAUCAGAAUGCAGGAAAAAAAAUUGUCACCGAGUGUGGAACACAGCUGGGCUUCAUAGCUAAUGUUUUAAGGUUACAUAGGUCUUAUCUAUUGUCUGGGCUGCUGGCCAAGUCUCUCUUAAGCAAGCAAUAACAAACUGUAAUAUCAGGUUUAGCCACAAGAUGUUGCCCCUAAUUUAAAAUUUUCUUUUGAAUCCAAUGUUUUUAUAAUCUUUUCAGUUUUGCUUCUUUUUUAUAAGUAAAGGCCCAGAUCUUCAGUAAGAAUAGAAACUCUUUUAGUCCACAAACUUUAAGAAAUAAGAUUCCAAUUAGGAACCGGUUAUUCUUGCAAUGUUUUAAACUCCCCUGGAUAGUCAGUCGCCGCUGUUUCUAGACGGAGAGAUAAAAUCUCCCCUAUCCACAGGGGGAAAGUACUUUAAGCAGCUUAUUCAGGAAAAAGUAGGAUUUAAGAGAGGUAGAUCUCACCCAGUCUUGUCCACGCUACUUUAUAAUUGCCUGGUGGUAAGUGUGACUUCAGCUGUCUACAGCCUAGUGACAAGCCAUAUUGCUAUGGCCGGUCCUUCGUCCGCCGGUUUGGAGGGUUGCCCCGGAUUGAGCAGAAGAGCUACCACCCUCCCGCGAUCAGGUGGGGAUCCCCUCCUUGCUGGUCACCCCUACAGGGUGACUUUCAACCCUUUCCAGGGUCCCCCAGUGAUGUGAAACUGGACAUGGAAGUCGGAGCUCGCCUUCCAGAUGUCCAUGGCAGCUGCGUCGGCAAACCGGAAGUCUGAUCGUGAUCUUUAUUAUUUACUGAACUUAUUUAAUUCAGUUUAGAUGUUGUCCAACUCCCAAAUAAACAUUAAAAAUUCAAUACAGAUCAAAGCAAGAUGGGAUCCACUCACUUUACAUAUGAAAACAGAUAAAAAGGCAUCUAACAAGGGUUCCAUCGAACUUAAGGCCAGAGAAAAACCAGAUCGUCAAGGCCUUAUGUGUAGUAAUCAGUGCUCAGUCAUUGCAGGGUGCAAAAAAUGGCUGCUCUCUACGCAGCUUUUAUUGUUUAUAUAGAGUUUCCAAGAAGCAAAGGUUUCUACAUGACAAUAGCAUUUCAUUGGCUAAAAUCCUAUCCAAUCCUCAAGAAUAUAGAAGCCAGAGGCCAUAAACAGGGAAUAGUAAUGGCAAUAACAUCUUUGUUGUUUGCGUACUAGCUGUUAUCAGACUGGCAAGGUCACACAGACCUGCGUACUUUCACAUCGCCAUGGCGAUGUGAAGAAAUGAGAUAGAUGCAGAGAGGAGGGGCACACAGGCUUUGGAGGGGCAGUUUUCCACACACGACCUUUGCCUGUCUCUCACCUCUACACUAAUGGAAUGUCAACAGGAUAGGCCAUAAUGAUUUCAAUGGGGAAUUUCCGAAAACAGGAACCACAACAGAGGAGGCAUCACCGCAUAUUCUGGCCAUGCAGAGAUAGACAAUUCCUGAAAUAAUUAGCCUCUCUGCCAUGUAGGAUUGAUGGCCAGCACUUUAUAUCACUCCCAGAAGCAUACUGGCAAAAUAGUGCAGCUUAUGAAGCAGCAAUAUCACAUGGGCAUUCUGAGGCAUAUCCAUUAUUGCCCACACUGCUGCAUUGCAAAGUUUCAGAGUUUUCAAGGGCAGUCCAAUCUAUAGUACAUUGCAGUACUUGAGCUGUGAGGUGACCAGGGCAUGAGUGAUUGAAAGACUUCCCAGUCUGAGAAAGCACCAUGCCAGAUGCAGCAUAUAAGGGCCCCCUUGGCUACAGCUGCCACCUGCUUUUGAGCAGCAUCUGAGUCCGAAAGGUUCCCCAGAUUCUUGAAUUUAAGAGUAUAGACAGAAAACUCUUGGGUCCAGGAGGCCCUAGUAUCCAUAGCCAUUGAGACUUCAAAGGGAUUGAGUGUGUCAGUUCCAGGAUGAACUGCCUCCAGGCUGAAUCAGAACCUCAACAGCAUCAUUUGGCCAAUUGAGGUUGAUAAAUACAAUGGUGCCAUCUGCAUAUUAAUACAAAAUCCCAACCAAUGGAUGACCUCAUCCAGCAACUUCAUGUACAGGUUAAACAGGUGGAAAGAGAACAUUAACCCUGUGGUACCUCACUUAACCUCUCCCCCACUUUCUUCCAACACCAAUUGAAUUGGCUGUGAAGAAAGAAACACUGUACCUUAAGGUGCACUUAAUUCCCAACCCCCACAGCCAGCUGAGAAAGAUACUAUGGUUAAUAUAUUAAAGGCCACUGAGAUAUCAAGGAGCACAAAGAUGGAGGUGCCACUUUCAUCUUGGAUCUGCAAUAGCUCAUCAACAGGUGCAAUCAAAAUUUUCUCAAUUCAAUCCCAUUCUAGUAUCUGUCUGAAAUCGAUCUAAAUAAUAUGCUUACUCAAGGGUCUUAUGCAACUGCAACUGCAAUCUGACUACCUUCUCAACAACCUUCCCCCCGCCCAAAAGAAAAGUUGGAGACAGGAUGGUAAUUUAAAAUCAAUGGGACCAAGGUCAGCCUCUUGAGCAGAUUGAAGACAGCAGCUUCUAUCUCAACAAGACCAACAUAGUAGUAUGAACCCAACAGGAGGUACCUCCCGGACCUCCUUCACAGUUCAGCAAGAUCUAGUUCAAUAACUAGGUGAAUAUGGUGGAUUAUGUCGAAGGGGGAAGUGAUAAGAUGAACUACAGCAGAUGUGUAGGCCCAUAGGCCACAUGCAGCCCUGGACCCUUCGCAAUGCGGCCCCACAAGAUUGUAAACUUCUAACAUUAUUAUGUGAUUUAGAUACAUUAACUAUAUUAAAUAUUUUAUAUGUGGCCCAAGACAAUUCCUCUUCACUCAUUGUAGCCCAGGCAAGCCAAAAUUUUGUAGACCCGUGGACUACAAUGAAGCAGCAGUUCUCCAGGAGAGAACACUUUCCAAGAAACAGAGUGAGACAAGAGACAACACAGUCCAAAGUUGGAUUGAUGAAAGGAGAUGUUUAUGAUAGAGACUGCCUAGAAUCUUCCACCUUAUUUCUUCAGGCUCCAUUGCUGCUUGUCUGACUAUAGUCUGUGGCUCUUCCACUUGUCUGCCAAGGUCAUCCCUACAGACCAUUGCUGCUGGACAGCUAUCAGCAGCUGUAAUAAUGUUGGGGAUAUAUUGAUAUUUCAUCACAUUUACUGGGGUGAUAUGAUUCCAGAUGUGAACUCUUACAAGUCACGUUCACUUCAGGUUUUUCUCCAACAGCACUAUGGGCAUCCAUUCUGGUGCUUUAUCUCUCAGAGCAUCUCAGUUAGGUACUUCUUGGGAUUGGUAUGUAGCAAAUGGCAUAAUUAUGGGGGGGGGGGGUGCACUACAGUCCAAGGCCCAGCCAUCUGCCCACUCCAGAUAACAAGCAAGGCCUUGGUUGAGCCUUCUUACUGGACUCUCACUAUCCUUCAGCAUCUAUAAGAGUGCAGAUGGCAAUCUUCUUAAAGAGAAUGAAUCAAUGUUGUCUAUUGUUCAGUCUCAUAUGUAAUUGAUGUCUUUUAUUGUUUGAUCAUCAGCUUUGUGAUGCAUCACAUAUAUACUCAAUGUAUGUAUCAUUUGUAUCAUUUAACAAGACAUGAUACUUCUCUCCUUAAUAAAUGCUUUUUGCUUUGCCUGAAUUACUUAGUGAUUUGUAUAUUCAGAUGGGUAAAGCAAAGGUAAAAGUGUCUCUCUCAGAUUCAGGGAUCAAGUUCUUAUCAGCUCCACAUUAGACUCAGGCUUAGGUUUUGAGGCAACAGCAUCUGACGGAAGUAUUUUAAAGAUCCAUAAUAUCCUUCACCAUUUUUAUUAUUGUAGAAGCUUUGAAAGCAUUAAAUUAAACUUAAAGGAUUGACUGGACAUACAAUCAAUAUCUGUUUAUUUUAUUGAUAUUUUUUUUAUUUUAAUGCUUUCAGACAUCCCCAAUAAAUCUUAUUUUACCAAAGUAAAGGAUUUAUCCUAUUCCAGCAUCGGGUCUUGUUUAGCUUUUUUAAACUGGAUAGUGUUUGAAUCCGCUUUGGGGUGGGACAAUAACUUUGGGACCAAAGUGUGCCCCUCCCACCAAUCUUCUCCACUGCUGGUUCUUUGUUUUCAGCUCUUUCAUGUAUAUUUUGAUCCCUUUUUCUUUGUUGUAAAGCAUCUCUUCUAAAUUGCCCUGGAAGGGAAUUCAGUAGAGAGAUAAACAGUUAUUCUGUUAUUUAACACAGCAUCUUCUGUUGAGACUACAUCUAUUGGACUUGUCUAUUUUGUUUGCAUAUAAACGCAUGCCUUGAUUUGAAAGAGAAGAUGGAAACUGUUCAGUAUGAUUUGUCAUUGGAAUUCUGCAGUUUGUCAGUUAAGGAGUGGCAGUUGGAAUGUCCAGUGACAGUUGAAAAUGGACGUCUGGGAGAAGAAUGAAAGAGACGCUGGUCAUUAGGCAUUGGACAUAAAGAGAGAUAAUUGGUUACCAUUUCAGGACUUUUCAAUUUUUACUUCAAAUAUAAUGACCUACCAGUGACUUUUCCCAGCAGAACCAAAUGUGAAGGAUGUUCAGAAUUAUUACGCAACAACUUCUGGAAAGCCACUGGUUCUUCAAUAUUGGAAUCAUGAAAAGUAAGUGAAUUCCUAUUCAAAUAAAUUAUUAUAGAUUCUUUAUAAUGGGAUCUAACGGAAUACAUGGCUGUUCUUUUAAAGGAUUUUUCUUUUUAGAUUUGCAGAAGCCAAAACUGAGUUUUAUGCUAAAGUCACUGGGUGACUACUGCUGUUAAAUACACAAAUAUCAACACAGCUGAUGUCAUCGAUAUGGUUCAUAUAGUCAAGAUGAUUGAUAGACUAAGCUGUCAAUGAUGUCAUCAACAUGGAUGAUAGACUAAGUCAAUUGAGAAUGAGAAGUAAUGUAGAUCCUCAGGUUACAAAGUAAGCGGCCCGGAUUUCUUGCUUAUAGUUAUGUGAACUUUUAUUGGUAUUCUAAUACCAAUAAAAGUUUAAUAGUUUAAUACUAAAUGAUAUAAACUGUUCAGUUUGUACUGUAGAAAGAUUUAUUAAACUAUGUUAAUGGUGGGGAAAGGAUUUCUUAACUUUUGACAUUCAUAUCUGAUAUUUGUGUACAUCUCAUGAAGUUCUGUAACUGUUAACAUAACACUCUGCUUUUUUGUUGCCUAUUGGCUAUUUGACUGGUAUUUUAGUGCCAAUACAUUUUAUUUAAGCCUUUUAAAAUGUACUGCUUUUUGUUAAGCAACUUAAAUAGUUUUAGGAUGUUAUUUUUCAGAUUUUUGAAUGGGGAAAAGCAGCAUUUAUUUUUUUACUUGUAAAUCACUCAGGUCACUUAGAAAGUAAGAUGGAUGGUGUAUAAAUUUGAUUAUUAAAUAAAGACAUUUUAUAUUAUUAAGAAAUCAAAUGGGAGGGAAAUUUACUCCCAAUGGGAUGAAUGGUGAAAGUCUUUUACACCUCUAGAUUAUUCAUGUGCAAGUAUCUAUAUAAUAGUGUAAAUGUAUGCUGUGCUAUUUUGAUUUGAUUUGGUUUCCUAAAUUCAUCUAUGUGACCAAUAAAUUACUUAACGGGCAACUACCAAAUGAAAAAGAAUGAUCACAAAAUGGUCAGCCUGGAUUAAUUGGGCCCAAUUAAGUACUUAUUUACUUAGUAUGUUGGGAUGAUUAUAUGCAUUACUUCAGAGCUACUGAACAUUGGAGAAUAUGACAUGUUGAAAGUAAGGAUGGCAUGUAUCUUGACAUAGUAUGGACUGGAAUCUGAGAACCUAUAUCCAAACACCAGAUAUAUCCACCAUGAAAAAGUCCAAUGAAGACCUGAGGAUGCUGCCCAAAGAAAUUUGGGAGGGAUCAAGAUCUAAUAUCCUUGGGAGUCAUUGCGGCAGUCCCGAUGAUCAUUUUCAUGAUUUUUGCCUUCUGGAAUGUUGUCCAAACUAUAUCACAUAAAAAAAUUUACUCAGCCUUUUUAAUCUUGGAGGCCUUCUGAGUUUAACAGGAAUCAUAGUCUUAAUUUCAAUUUCCUGGAACAUGUAUUCCACCUUGGUUCACACAAUCGUUAUGUUUCCUAAGCCUUUGAAAAUGCCUACUUUUUUAGAGCACCAGGAGGGUUGGAGCUGCUAUUUAUGUUGGUUGUAUUGCUGCAAUUUUAUUUCUGGUGAAUGGCAUUAUGAUUAUCUGUAAUAAAAGCAUUUUGCAAAUACA